UCUAUUAUAAUAACAUGACUGCAAAUUGUUGGUUGCCGUAAACACCAAUGCUUUUAUUCGGGCCGACCUUUGGAAUCCCCGCCGGGACAAGCUGGAGACACUUCCCGCUCCGGCAUCUGGUCCAGCACUCGGAAUAAUGAAGGGUUUGCAGUAUUGCUACGUCUUGACGCCACCGCGAGAUGGAAGCACUUAUUUAGAAGUUAAGUUAAGCUCUAUGAGGAAACACAAAAAAUGUAGGAUGAAGCACUAUUUUCAUCUAAUCUUGGCAUGCGCAUAAUAAUACUGACGUGCAACAUGCAGUGACAUAAAUGCUGCUAAAAGCAGGGUAUCAGCGGGGUCUUAAAAAGUCUACAGAAGUCAUAAAUCCAAUAAUUUAAAUUUAAGGCCUUAAAAUGUCUAAAAUUCUCUUAAAAUCUCAUAAAAGGUCUUAAAUACAAUUUUGAAAGGUCUUAAUAAUCUAUUGACGUUACUUUUAUUUACACACAGCGGAACUAACUGUGCUGCCCGGUCAGAAUUUAUCAAACAUGUUGCUGUGCGCACGCAGCUGUGUGUUGACAGCUUAGUUAGCAUAGCAGCGGAGAAAACUUAACGAAUGCCCACAGCAAAGCCUUGCAUAAGAUGGGUAAGUAAGUAAAAAUUCAAGGAUUUGUGUCUCCUGAACAAUCAAUUGAAUGCAUGGUUGAACCCAGUGGAUGGGAACGUAUAAAGUGUUUAGUACCCAGAUGUGCAGCCAUCGAGGAAGGAAGCGUUUGUAAACAUGGCGGUGUGAAUGGAAUGACAUUGGAAAAGUCAAAAAUCCGGGAUAAGUCCGUGUCAAAAGAUGCUGAAACGCCACAAACACUUGCACAACUUUACAAAGACAAACGUAACCCCCCCCCCAAAAAAAAGGUGUGUUAUAUGGUUCAAGUUGCGCCAAUUGCUGAAGGAGAUCAAUAUGAGGUGUUUAGUAGUAAAAUCAUACUAUUACAUACAGUAAGCACACACUAAUUUCUCUGUGGUAGUAGUGUACUGAGCAGUAAAACUAUUAAAAAAAACAUAAUUAUUUCUAUUAUUUGUUCCAAUAAUUUCAGGUCAGCUUCUCACGCCUAAUCUUUUCUCCAAGUUUAUACAGCAAGCGACAUGAAAAGUGUUUAGUGUUUACACCAGGGGUCUCAAACUCAAUUUACCUGGGGGCCACUGGAUGCAGAAACUGGGUGAGGCUGGGCCGCAAGAAAAAAUUUCUUAAAAAAAUCUAACAUGCACUUUUUAAUGAAUUCACCUUCUUUGAAUGGCUAUCCCGCCCUAGCAACAUA